rnacentral:rRNA from 1 species
UACAGAGGUCUCAAGCGUUGUUCGGAUUCAUUGGGCGUAAAGGGUGCGUAGGCGGCGCGGUAAGUCGGGUGUGAAAUCUCGGAGCUUAACUCCGAAACUGCAUUCGAUACUGCCGUGCUUGAGGACUGGAGAGGAGACUGGAAUUUACGGUGUAGCGGUGAAAUGCGUAGAUAUCGGAAGGAACACCGGUGGCGAAGGCGGGUCUCUGGGGCCGAUACUGACGCUGAGGAGCGAAAGCGUGGGGAGCGAACAGG